UGGGGAAUAUUGGACAAUGGGCGAAAGCCUGAUCCAGCAAUGCCGCGUGUGUGAAGAAGGUCUUCGGAUUGUAAAGCACUUUCGACGGGGACGGAUGAUGACGGUACCCGUAGAAGAAGCCCGGCUAACUUCGUGUCAG
rnacentral:rRNA from 1 species